CCUACGGGUGGCAGCAGUGAGGAAUAUUGGUCAAUGGACGAGAGUCUGAACCAGCCAAGUAGCGUGAAGGAUGACUGCCCUAUGGGUUGUAAACUUCUUUUAUCUGGGAAUAAAAUGUUCCACGUGUGGGAUUUUGUAUGUACCAUAUGAAUAAGGAUCGGCUAACUCCGUGCCAGCAGCCGCGGUAAUACGGAGGAUCCGAGCGUUAUCCGGAUUUAUUGGGUUUAAAGGGAGCGUAGGUGGAUUGUUAAGUCAGUUGUGAAAGUUUGGGGCUCAACCGUAAAAUUGCAGUUGAAACUGGCAGUCUUGAGUACAGUAGAGGUGGGCGGAAUGCGUGGUGUAGCGGUGAAAUGCUUAGAUAUCACGAAGAACUCCGAUUGCGAAGGCAGUUCACUGGACUGCAACUGACACUGAGGCUCGAAAGUGUGGGUAUCAAACAGGAUUAGAUACCCUUGUAGUC
rnacentral:rRNA from 1 species